rfam:Schistosoma mansoni strain Puerto Rico chromosome W, complete genome
AUCAGGAUGGCCAAGCGGUCCAAGGCGCUGCGUUCAGGUCGCAGCCCACUCUGUGGGCAUGGGUUCGAAUCUCACUUCUGACA